GCGUUUGUGGUUUAGUGGUAAAAUCCAUCGUUGCCAUCUGUCUUCUAACAUACAGAGAGUCAACUUCGAUGGGCCCCGGGUUCGAUUCCCGGCGAACGCA